rnacentral:pre_miRNA from 10 species
GUCCUUUGGGGUGAGGUAGUAGGUUGUAUAGUUUUAGGGUUAUACCCUGCCUGUCAGAUAACUAUACAAUCUACUGUCUUUCCUGAAGUGGCU